CUUUCAAUUUUCAAUUAUCCCAUAAUAUCAAUUUUUCUUUUUUAAAUAAAUAUUUUUGGUUCAUCAUCAUUCAUGCGAAAUAGCUAAUAGCAGCUCCAACUUCUGGAAUCAUGUGAAUGUUGAAGAUCUCAGUGACAACACUUUCUCCAUGGCUGCUACUACUCCUUCAUCUACAUACCCAUUCGGAACCCCUUUCCACUCGCACACUCGAAGACUUGAUUGCUCAACCUCAACCUCCAUGUUCCCCCUUCAUUCAGACCUAUCUACAAUUUCUAUGUGCCCGCGUUCUGCUUCAAAGGGAUUAGUUGAUCGAGUAUAUGCACAGCUUGAUGGUGAUGAUUACCACAGGGAGAAAGUUCCAACACCCAUUCUUGACAUGGUUGAAAACCCUCUUUGCUUGAAGAACUUAUCUCUUAAGGAACUGAAACAACUAGCAGUUGAAAUCCGUUCAGAUUUGUCUUCUAUUAUGUCAGGUACACAAAUAUCACCGAAAGCAAGUAUGGCAGUGGUGGAGCUGACAGUUGCAAUACAUCAUGUUUUCAAUGCUCCAGUAGACAAGAUAUUGUGGGAUGUUGGGGAUCAAACAUAUGCACAUAAAAUUCUUACAGGAAGGCGAUCACUCAUGACGACAAUGAGAAGAAAGAAUGGUCUUUCUGGUUUUACUUCCCGAUUUGAAAGUGAAUAUGAUGCAUUUGGUGCAGGUCAUGGAUGCAACAGUAUUUCUGCUGGACUUGGCAUGGCAGUUGCACGGGAUAUUAAGGGGAGGCAAGAACGCGUAGUUGCAGUUAUCAGCAAUUGGACAACUAUGGCUGGUCAGGCGUAUGAGGCAAUGAGCAAUGCAGGAUAUUUGGACUCAAAUAUGGUUGUGAUUUUGAAUGAUAGCCGCCACUCUUUACUUCCAAAAAUUGAGGAGGGGCCAAAGACAUCUGUCAAUGCCCUAUCUAGUACCCUGAGCAAGCUCCAGUCCAGUAAAUCUUUCCGGCGAUUUAGAGAAGCUGCUAAGGGUGUCACGAAACGAAUUGGUAGAGGUAUGCAUGAGUUGGCAGCUAAAGUUGAUGAGUAUGCUCGUGGUAUGAUGGGUCCUCUAGGUUCUACUCUUUUUGAAGAGCUUGGGUUGUACUACAUAGGCCCAGUGGAUGGACACAAUAUUGAAGAUCUCAUAUGUGUUCUGCAAGAAGUAGCUUCCCUGGAUUCAAUGGGACCUGUCUUGGUACAUGUGAUAACUGAUGAAAAUCAGGGAGAUGAUAACAGUCAGAAAAGUGAUAUGUCAGAUGAGCAGAAAAAUGAAGGUUUUGUUAAAUCUGAUUUGUUAGAUAAUCCUGUUUGGCCUCAAACAUAUGGCAAUUGCUUUGUGGCGACUUUGGUUGCAGAAGCAGAGAAAGACAAAGAUAUUAUUGUUGUUCAUGCUGGAUUAACGAUGGAGCCAUCACUUGAACUGUUUCAGGAAAAAUUUCCGGAUAGGUUUUUUGAUGUGGGAAUGGCUGAGCAACAUGCAGUCACAUUUGCUUCUGGUUUGGCAUGUGGUGGCUUGAAGCCAUUUUGUGUCAUACCUUCGUCCUUUCUACAAAGAGCCUAUGACCAGGUGGUACAUGAUGUUGAUCAACAGAGAAUUCCAGUGCGUUUUGUUAUUACAAGUGCAGGAUUGGUAGGUUCUGAUGGUCCCCUUCGAUGUGGAGCAUUUGAUAUAAACUUUAUGUCAUGCUUACCAAACAUGAUUGUCAUGGCCCCAUCUGAUGAGCUUGAACUCAUGCACAUGGUGGCUACUGCUACUCGUAUCAAUAAUCAGCCUAUCUGCUUUCGGUAUCCAAGGGGUGCCCUGGUUGGGGAAGGCUACACUAUAGGUGAUGGAAUCCCCAUCAAGAUAGGAAGAGGAAGAGUUCUUGUUGAAGGUAAAGAUGUUGCUUUCCUAGGAUAUGGAUCGAUGGUUCAGAACUGCUUAAAGGCUCAUUCACUCCUUGCAAAGCUUGGCAUUGAGGUCACGGUUGCUGAUGCAAGGUUCUGCAAGCCCCUUGACAUUAUGCUUCUGAGGCAGCUUUGUAAACACCACUCUUUUCUAGUUACUGUUGAGGAAGGAUCUAUUGGAGGAUUUGGUUCCCAUGUUGCUCAGUUUAUUGCAGUUAAUGGACUGCUCGAUGGAAGAAUUAAGUGGCGACCAAUUGUUUUACCAGACAGAUAUAUUGAGCAUGCAUCACCAAAUGAACAGCUUGACCAAGCAGGGUUGAGUGGACAUCACAUUGCUGCCACGGCAUUGAGUUUACUAGGCCGUACCCGUGAAGCUCUCCUAUUUAUGUGUUCGUGACUUGCUUCGUGCCCUUUUCCAGAUACGAUGAAUGGAAGUUGGAUAGCUCCACAGGAAGAAGGAGAACCAACAAAGCAAAGAUAUACGAAAAAUAAGGUUGCAUUUAGCAAAAGUGGCACAGAAAGGAAGAAAAAAAAAAAAGAAAUUCUGAAGCAGGCCCAAUCCAAUAGGGGCGCUAAGCGUGCAUCAGGCACUAAGCGAGCAACUAACUGCAGGCGCUGGACGUGGCGUUAAGCACGAAGGUGAAAACCGUUACGCGCGCUAAGCCCAGCUAGGCGCCUAGCGCCCGAUCCAACAGAAGCACAGGCCCAGCGUGCAUGGCGCGCCCAGCGCACGAUCUGAACGCGCUAAGUGCGAGGUGUGGCGCUGAGCGCGACUACGAAGGCCCAUAAGCCCACUUCAGCAACUAUAAAUAGAGAGGCAGUCCCAAGGAAAUCCCAUCUCAGAGCAUCACUCUCAGUCCCUCAAGCCUGAGUUCUUUUCUCUCUAUAUUCUUUGUUUUGUUAGCCUAUUCUUUCUUUCAUCCCCAGUUGUAAGCCCUCAAUGGCCAUGAGUGGCUAAACCCCUAGCUAGGGCCUGGCAGGCCUAAAAAGCCAACGAUGUACAAUGAGCU